AAAUUGAAGAGUUUGAUCAUGGCUCAGAUUGAACGCUGGCGGCAGGCCUAACACAUGCAAGUCGAGCGGUAGCACAGAGAGCUUGCUCUCGGGUGACGAGCGGCGGACGGGUGAGUAAUGUCUGGGAAACUGCCUGAUGGAGGGGGAUAACUACUGGAAACGGUAGCUAAUACCGCAUAACGUCGCAAGACCAAAGUGGGGGACCUUCGGGCCUCAUGCCAUCAGAUGUGCCCAGAUGGGAUUAGCUAGUAGGUGGGGUAAUGGCUCACCUAGGCGACGAUCCCUAGCUGGUCUGAGAGGAUGACCAGCCACACUGGAACUGAGACACGGUCCAGACUCCUACGGGAGGCAGCAGUGGGGAAUAUUGCACAAUGGGCGCAAGCCUGAUGCAGCCAUGCCGCGUGUAUGAAGAAGGCCUUCGGGUUGUAAAGUACUUUCAGCGAGGA
rnacentral:rRNA from 1 species